rnacentral:rRNA from 1 species
GACGAACGCUGGCGGCGUGCUUAACACAUGCAAGUCGAACGGAAAGGCCCUGCUUUUGUGGGGUGCUCGAGUGGCGAACGGGUGAGUAACACGUGAGUAACCUGCCCUUGACUUUGGGAUAACUUCAGGAAACUGGGGCUAAUACCAGAUAGGAGCUCCUGCUGCAUGGUGGGGGUUGGAGAGUUUCGGCGGUUGGGGAUGGACUCGCGGCUUAUCAGCUUGUUGGUGGGGUAGUGGCUUACCAAGGCUUUGACGGGUAGCCGGCCUGAGAGGGUGACCGGCCACAUUGGGACUGAGAUACGGCCCAGACUCCUACGGGAGGCAGCAGUGGGGAAUAUUGCACAAUGGGCGGAAGCCUGAUGCAGCAACGCCGCGUGCGGGAUGACGGCCUUCGGGUUGUAAACCGCUUUCGCCUGUGACGAAGCGUGAGUGACGGUAAUGGGUAAAGAAGCACCGGCUAACUACGUG